rnacentral:misc_RNA from 1 species
GUCACACAAUGGCUUCCCAGACAAGGAGCACCUGCCGCAUUUCAUCACCUCAAACCUAGAACAUGACGCCGUCAAACUCGUGCUGGAACACUUUGCAGAGGAAGGAAUCGCCAGUGUGACGUUUGUACCAGCUUCUCCAAAGACAGGUCAUGUGAUGGUGGAUGACGUCAUUGCCGCCAUACGACCAUCGACAUGCAUGAUCUCUAUAAUGCUUGCCAACAAUGAGACAGGAAUAAUACAGGUUUGAAAUUCUGCAAGCAUUCUUUGCCUUUAAUUGCUUCUCCAAAAUUUGGUAAGACUUUUGUAUAAUUGGACAGCCAGUAAAAGAGAUGUUUGAGAGAGUGAAACAGAUCAACACUUCAAGGAAAACCAUUCCCAAGAUACUUCUCCACACGGAUGCCGCUCAGGCCAUCGGCAAGAUUCUGGUCAGUGUUCAGGAUUUGGGGGCAGACUACCUCACAAUCGUUGGACACAAGUUUUACGGACCCAGAAUUGGAGCUAUAUAUGUAAAAGACCUGGGGUCCAGCAAAGAGGUGCCUCUCUACCCCAUGUUUUAUGGGGGAGGCCAGGAGAGGAACUAUAGACCGGGAACUGAGAACACAGCAAUGAUCGCAGGACUAGGGCAGGCAUCAAAACUAGUGACUGAAAAUAUAGAUAAAUACAACAGGCACAUGGAAAAAGUACGAGACUACCUGGAAGAAAGGUUAAAGGCAGAGUUUGGUGAGGAAAUCUGCUUUAAUGGAAGAAUAGGAAAAAGCUGUCGCAUUCCAAACACAUGUAACAUGUCACUUCUGUCAGUAGACUGUAGCGGAUCUGAGGUCCUAUCACAUUGUACACAUGUACAAGCCAGUGUGGGAGCAGCUUGUCAUGCUCAAAAUAGGCCCUCUCCGAUAUUGUUGGCGUUGGACAUAGAGGAAGAUGUGGCGAGGCGGGCAAUCCGACUAUCUGUAGGAAGGGAAACAACCCAGGAAGACAUUGACUGCGCUGUAAAUGAUCUCAAACAAGCAGUAGAAAAAAUACAGAGCAAGAACACGUGUAUAAGUGCUCAGCGUGUGGAAUAGGUCAACUCUAGGAGCCUUGUGUCUUCUGGAAGAUUUUAAAAUAUCCAAGAGUGAAGGAUAAGAAGAAAGAGGACUCCAAAAGUUAUGGUGUUAAAUCACGUGAAGUACUCCUUAUACCAGUAUGUAAAGUGUAUCAAGAUAUCCAAAUUAUUUAUUGAAGGAAGUCUGAGAAUAUUGAGAAGAUUUUAUAUCUGAGGCUAUAUGCAUGAUAAUGCAAAUACUUGUGUUCACAGGAUAUCAGAAUUUGAUGCAAAGAUUUUUAAUCUUUGCACUUUAGUUUUACUGUAAUAUGAAAAUACUAGGUUGUUGUUGCAGUGAUCGUCUGGAUUGAUGGUACAUUGAUCAAAUAUACAUGUACCCGAUUGCAGGAAAUGUUCAUCAAUGUUAGUGUGAAUUUAUGUUUCUUCAAUAAAACCUCAAAUUCUU